AUGCCCGGUUGCUCUUGUUACCCUAUUUGUGGAGCUCUUAGACAACAGGGAAGAUGGAGCUGUGGCCCCAGAGGGCCUGCGAGAGGUAACCACGUCUUAGUCUCUGGGAAUUCCUGGCUUAGAAGCAAGGAUUUGCUGAGCACCAUGCUCUCUGGGGGCAGAUUACUUGCUCAAGGUGAAGCCAGAUGCCAUGAAGCCAGGACAUUCGGGAUCCAUCCACAUUGGCAGCCCUGCUAGCAGCCACAGGAGAGGUGGAUCCUCUGGCCCCAGAUGACAGCAGCUCCAGCCCAAGUUCCAUCUUUGUAAGAGACCCAGAGCCAGAACCACCCAGCUAAGCUUCUCCCCAAAUCCUGACCCACCGAAAUUGUGAGACAAAUGUUUUUGUUUGUUUAUUUUAACGAAAGAUUUACUUAUUUGAGAGAGAGAGAGAGAGAGGAGAGAACAU
rnacentral:lncRNA from 1 species